rnacentral:lncRNA from 1 species
GUAUCUCUCCGGACUUCUCCAACAGCCGGAUUCCCACGGUGCUGACUGAAUUCUCCCGACGGACGAACUCCCACUGCACCACCCGAGCUCCUUCAACAUGAGUUCCCCCAGUCAUCUAUUAAGCCACCCCAAGUGCCCACUGAGCUCCGCCGCCAGCCGACUUUCUACGACGAUCAGCCGUUCCCCGAAUCCCUUCCAGACUCCUUCCAACCAGGUUCAACUCCAAUCCGAACUACACC